rnacentral:rRNA from 1 species
AUUGAACGCUGGCGGCAGGCCUAACACAUGCAAGUCGAGCGGAUGAAGGGAGCUUGCUCCUGGAUUCAGCGGCGGACGGGUGAGUAAUGCCUAGGAAUCUGCCUGGUAGUGGGGGAUAACGUCCGGAAACGGGCGCUAAUACCGCAUACGUCCUGAGGGAGCAAGUGGGGGAUCUUCGGACCUCACGCUAUCAGAUGAGCCUAGGUCGGAUUAGCUAGUUGGUGGGGUAAAGGCUUACCAAGGCGACGAUCCGUAACUGGUCUGAGAGGAUGAUCAGUCACACUGGAACUGAGACACGGUCCAGACUCCUACGGGAGGCAGCAGUGGGGAAUAUUGGGCAAUGGGCGAAAGCCUGAUACAGCCCUGCCGCGUGUGUGAAGAAGGUCUUCGGAUUGUAAAGCACUUUAAGUUGGGAGGAAGGGCAGUAAGUUAAUACCUUGCUGUUUUGACGUUACCGACAGAAUAAGCACCGGCUAACUUCGUG